rnacentral:hammerhead_ribozyme from 1 species
AUCCAGCUGACGAGUCCCUAAUAGGACGAAACGCCCCUUGUCCUGGAU